rnacentral:rRNA from 1 species
AACGCGAAGAACCUUACCUGGGUUGAACUACGUGGGAAAAGCCGCAGAGAUGCGGUGUCCUUCGGGGUCCACGAUAGGUGGUGCAUGGCUGUCGUCAGCUCGUGUCGUGAGAUGUUGGGUUAAGUCCCGCAACGAGCGCAACCCUUGUCCUAUGUUGCCAGCGGGUAAAGCCGGGGACUCGUAGGAGACUGCCGGGGUCAACUCGGAGGAAGGUGGGGACGACGUCAAGUCAUCAUGCCCCUUAUGUCCAGGGCUGCAAACAUGCUACAAUGGCCGGUACAAAGGGCAGCUAAACCGCGAGGUCAAGCGAAUCCCAAAAAGCCGGUCUCAGUUCGGAUUGAAGUCUGCAACUCGACUUCAUGAAGCUGGAGUCGCUAGUAAUCCCGGAUCAGAAACGCCGGGGUGAAUACUUCCCGGGUCUUGUACACACCG